GGUCGGAUGGCCGAGUGGUCAGGCAAGGGUACGCAAUACCUUAUACAAUGGUUCAAAUCCAUUUCCGACCUCAA
rnacentral:tRNA from 1 species